rnacentral:lncRNA from 1 species
UGAGUUAGCAACCCGAAGAAAAUAUCGAAAAAAUUAUGUAGAUCCAAUCCGAAGAAAAAGAAAUAACUAGAUUAGACAAGACAACCAAAAACCAUUGAAAGAAGAAAUCGAAAAAAAUACAUUCACACUUUCGAAUUCAUUUAAAACAUAAAAUAAAACUAAAUAGAUCCACUUCAUUUAUCACAAUGAAUUAUAUUUGUUCGAUACACUGUUGUCAAUAUAAAUAUUGAAUAUUGAAAAAAAAAAAGUGGAAAACAAAACUACAAUUUACUUAAAUUUACUUAGAUUUAUUGAAUUCAUAAUGGAUUCAAUCAAGUUAACUGAGAUAAGCAAACUUGAUUUCAUUCCGAAAUGCCCGAAUUAACUAUUUAGAAGAUCAAUAAAAUAAGAGGUUUUGUCGUUAUAGAACACGGAAUUCACUGGAAGCAAUGAUAAAUAAAUACAAAUAGAAAAGGAAAGGGAGGAAAUACAAAAAAAUAGAAGAGAAAAGUCAUACAAAGUUAUAUACAAAUCACUACCCCCUUUUUUGUAUUUCCUUAAUUUAUUUCCUUAAUUGAAUUUCGGUUGAUUAAGACGAAGUUCCUUAAAAACCUCUGCCUUCUUUAAAAUAUCCUGAACAGUUUCUGUAGGUUGAGCCCCUUUUUCAAGGAAAUAUAAAAUAGCAGGAACAUUUAAAUAAGUUUGAUUCUUUAUCGGAUCAUAAAAACCCACUUUCUGAAGAUCUUUUCCUUCUCUUCGGGAUCGAACAUCAAUUGCAACGAUUCGAUAGACGGCUCAUUGGGAUAGAUGUAGAUGAACAACACCCCCCCUAGAAACGUAUAGGAAGCUUUCUCCUCGUACGGCUCGAGAAAAAUGAUUGAUUCGAAGUUUUGUCUUUGUAUGGAAUUCUAUCUAAGAAAUGACAACUGGAUCCAUAAAAUGAUCAAAGCAAUUAAAGAUCUAAGUCUUUUUUUCUUCGUUCUUCCUUAAAAUGAAAAAUAAACCAUUCGUACUCUCAUAACUCAAGUUGGAUAACUUUCAAACAGUUCAAAGGAAAAUCUUUCGGCAAUUUCAUUUAUUGAGCGGUCUUUCCUCCUUUUUUGUUUGUCUCGUUUAAAAUCGGAUUCUUCAGUCUGAUCCAGUUAUUAAGACAAUUAAAAAGGUGUUUCCUUGUUCUGGGAUCCUUUAUCUUUGUUUUAUUUUAAAUCAUUGGGUUUAGACAUUACUUCGGUGCUUUUUAAUCCUUUCAAAAUGGCAGCAACAUACCCUUUUUGCGAUUUUUAUGAAAGAAUCCUACAAGAUGAUGGAUUCCCUCGUGAAACACUUUGGAUCGAAAAAGUUUGAUCAAUUCCAAUAAAUUUUUUAAUUUGAAACUUGCUCGAAUUGGAUUCUUUCGAUUUCCAUACCUAAGAUAUAUUAGAUAUAUUUACGAAGUUGUUUCAAUUGUUUUAUUGAUUGGCAUUAACCCUAGACCCUUGCCCCGAGAAAGAAAUUAAUACUUUCUACUCGAGCUCCAUCAUGGACUAUUUACAUUCCAAGACAACAAAAAACGAGGGGUUCUAGUGAAACAGAACCAAUGAUGUCGAGUUAAGAGCACCUUCAUUCCUACAAAAAAUGGUGGAUGUACAAAUCCACAACGGAUCGUGUCCUUCAAGUCGCACGUUGCUUUCUACCACAUCGUUUCAAACGAAGUUUUACCAUAACAUUCCUCUAAGAACCGGUAUGGAAUUGAUUCAAUUAUGGAAUCAUGAAUAGUCAUUGGUUGGGCUGAUGUAUAAACACCAUAAUCUAAAGUAUUUUCUAUAUCUUCUAUAUCUAUAGUAUAUAGAUAUAAAUAAUACUAUAGAUUAAUACUAUAGAUAUAGGGUGGAUAAAUAUUUUUCUGAAGAAGUCUUAGUAAGACCCCAUCGCUAAUAUUAAAUUGUCUAACAUUAUAAUAUUAAUUAAUAAAUAUAUAUAAUAAAAAAUUUUUUUAUAUAAAUAAAAUAAGACGAAUAAACGAAUUCUUUUUAAUUCUGCAUCUUCACGUGACUUAAUAGGAGAGAAAGAUUCAGCUUCUAAGGAAUGAUUUAAACUAUUUCUCUUUCGAAAUUUCGAAUCAAUUUCGAAAGUUCCCCUCUCGACAUCAUUAUUCCAAGAAAAUUUGAUAGUUAAAAAUAACUUUUGAUCAUCUUAGGAAAAAAGAUAAGUCUUUUUUUUUUUUUUUUCAUCUGAUUAAUAAAAUCCAAAGAAUGGGGAGGGUUUCGUAUCUAUCAAUUCGAUCAAAUAGACUGAGCAAUUGUCACCGUUUAUAGAUAUUGAAAUGAACGCCUUCCCAUCACUGAUUAACUCCUAUCUACCCCAUUCUCUGGGACUGAUGCAGCAUAAAUCAAAAGAAGGGGAUGUCCUAGUCUUUUUUUUACGAAAUGCGAGCUGGCUGGGCACAAAGCCAAACAAGCCCAGAUUAAGUCCAGUUUUUGCUCCUUUUUUCUAUUUUAGCCUACCUCAUUGAUUAAGAAUUAAGAGACUUAGUGAAUUGAAUUAGUACCAAAAACCCCUUCUUGGCGAAAAGUCAAGAAAUCCACAAAAAAGCAAAUUGAAUCUAAUUAGGCUAAUUUAGGGGGUAGAGAAUAUGAGAUAGGGAAUAUGGAUUCUUUCGUAUCUCGAUUCAGUUUUUGAAAAAAAAAAAAACGAUUCAUCGAAGAAAAAAAUCAGAAACAACAAUCACAUUCCAGCUAACAUUUCGAUUUUAAACAGAACAUUGUUAAAAAAGCAAUCUAUAUUGUCAGAGAAUAUAUAUGUUCUGGGACGGAAGGAUUCGAACCUCCGAAUAGCGGGACCAAAACCCGUUGCCUUACCACUUGGCCACGCCCCAUUUAGAUUUCUAUGCGAUACUAAUAAAGUAUAUUGCUGGUUUUGUUUGUUUGUCAACUCUAGCCCAAAUAUCUAUAGAAUCGAUUAGAUUGGUAUUCGGAUUUUUCUAUGUUUUUGGUAUGUGUAGAUAUAGAAUUCAACUUAAUUUAUUGAUCAUUACAUAUAAUUCAAUUAAGAUAUUGUAUGAAAAUAUUAUUUUUUCGAUUCUCCUUUUCUCAAAGGAGGAUUUUUGAUUGGGUGGGUUCAAAGAAAAAGAAGGAUUUUUUGUUUACCUUACUUACUUUCCUUUUCCUUAUAACUUACUUUCCUUUUCCUUAUAUAAAUAACUCAAUCAAAAUGCAAUUAUCUCCAAGAACAAAAAGUCUGUUAUGCUUAAUACCUUUAGUUUGAUCGGUAUCUGUCUUAAUUCGACCCUUUAUUCGAGUAGUUUUUUCUUCGGCAAAUUGCCCGAGGCCUAUGCUUUUUUGAAUCCAAUCGUAGAUAUUAUGCCAGUCAUACCUCUGUUCUUUUUUCUCUUAGCCUUUGUUUGGCAAGCUGCUGUAAGUUUUCGAUGAGAUCCUUAAUAAUAUCCUAGAAAAUUCAUGAUUUAUUCGAGAAAAAAUUCGAAAAUCAAUAAAAUCAGAUAAGCUUUACCGUUUGAAAUCUCGAUUCAAACAUUGAAAUUCUUGGAUAGUCACGAGAAAUCCGGCUUAACUUAAUUUCCUUCUUUUUUGGCGCUUUCCUUUCCAGUGAAAGACCUUAUUAGGCUCCUCUUGUAUAUAUAAAAAAUUUGGUUAAUGACAAACUCUUAUUAUAAAAGAAUUUCUGAAAAUUCUUUUAGAGAAAAAGCUUCGUUGCUUGGUGUCAAACUAGGAUAUGCGAUGGAUGAUCUAUUCUCUUUUUUUUUUUCAAAAAAAUCAUCUUGGAGAUUGUGUAAUGCUUACUCUCAAACUCUUCGUUUACACAGUAGUGAUAUUUUUUGUUUCUCUCUUCAUCUUUGGAUUCCUAUCUAAUGAUCCCGGACGUAAUCCUGGACGUGAAGAAUAAAAUAAAAAAGUUUUUUCCUUGCUUGAUUUUCAAAUUUUCUUAGGAUUUGGUCUAUUCCACACAUUUAACUAAGAAUAAGAACAAAGGAUUUCGAAAUUUGAAAAAAAAAAAAUCAAGUCAUCAACGGAAAGAGAGGGAUUCGAACCCUCGGUACGAUUAACUCGUACAACGGAUUAGCAAUCCGCCGCUUUAGUCCACUCAGCCAUCUCUCCCAAUUGAAAAAGAUAAUUAAUACAUGAGAUAGCACAUUAAGAUAAAGGAAAGAAUCUUUCUUUCUCUCUUUUCUUCUUUCUAUAUUAUAUAGAUAUGUACAACUUUUAUCAUCAAUUUCCUUUAUCUCUUUAUCUAAAGUAAAGGAAGGGCUCAGAAGAGCCAAGAAUCUCAAGAAAAAUAAAGAAGACCUCUUUUCUUUGUCUUGAUUUUGUUCGAAAGGACCCUCUUAUUCUCAUGGCCUGGUCUGGUCAGUACCCAGCCGGGCCUCUUUUGUUCCAAUUAAUUUGAAAACAAAAAUGUCUGUUAUAGUUGUAAUAUUUCAUUUUAAUUGAAUAGUUAAUAUUCAAGCAACAAGAAAAAAUUCCCAUUUUUUAUAUUUUUAUAUAAAGUCAAAUAAAAUAUAUGAAAUAGAAAAUUCGAUCAAAAAAAAAGUCUCAUUUCUCUUUCUGCUUUUUGAUUUUAUGUUUACCAUCUUGCUGGACUAAAAAAAAAGAAGCUUUCGAGUAUUCCACAAUGCAUUUUUAUGUUAUGAUUUUAGUCGUUUUGACGACCCUAUCUUAUCCUAUCUUAAUUACCACAAUUCCCCUGUUCGACAAAAGUUGUAUUUGUAUACAAUAAUCGGAUUGUAGCGGGUAUAGUUUAGUGGUAAAAGUGUGAUUCGUUCUAUUAUCCCUUAAAUAGUUAAAGGGUCCUUCGGUUUGAUUCGUAUUCCGAUCAAAAACUUUAUUUCUUAAAAGGAUUUAAUCCUUUUCCUCUCAAUGACAGAUUCGAGAACAAAUACACAUUAUCGUGAUUUGUAUCCAAAGGUCAGUUAGACAUUGAAAAAUUGGAUUAUGAAAUUGCGAAACAGAAUUUUUGAAUUGGAUCAAUACUUCCAAUUGAAUAAGUAUGAAUAAAGGAUCCAUGGAUGAAGAUAGAAAGUUUAUUUC